UGGGGUGGUCGCGUCAUUGUGUUGGAGAGAGUUGUGAGGCUGACUCCUGCGUCGUGCUCUGCAAGAGUUCUGCGCCAUGCCCCAUGCCGUGUCUCGUCUACGGCAGCCAGAGCGGGCGGUGUGGGUCGCCACAACCCUCUCUUCUCCUUGCUCCUCCCUUCCUCGUCGACAUAGCCGUCGCGCUCCUACUCCGGUCCCCCCCGCAUCCCCAGGAGCUCUUCCGCCUCUCUGGACGAGAUCCACCGCCUACUGAGGCCUUUAUCCAGCCCAGCUCAUGAGGAAGCCGCGGGAGGAGGAGCUCAAUCGGGCGUCACCGACCAGAGAAGGAGGAGAGGCGCGGAUGCCAGCCAAGGAAGCGGAUUGGCUUGCCUCCGCCAUGUCAUGAGCGCCGCCGCCGCCUCUGCAUCCGCCUUGCUCUGCAUAGCACCAUGUGUGCGGCGGCGGGGACAGGCAACCACAGGCUGAUUUUGGGGAGCAAGCAUCAAGCAAUGGCCGAUGCCAUGGGAUUAUAGCAAGCAACCGUCGCUGAGUUCCUUUUUCUUGCAUAAAAUUUUUCUACUGGUUCCUCAAUGCUCUGUUCAUGACUUUCUUCUUGUUUUAUUAUUUUUUUACUUUCCAAUUUCGAUGUAAUGGAUAUUGAUUUUGGUAGUCCAGAUAUCCCCUUGUA